AUUGAACGCUGGCGGCAGGCCUAACACAUGCAAGUCGAACGAGUGGCGGACGGGUGAGUAAUGUCUGGGAAACUGCCUGAUGGAGGGGGAUAACUACUGGAAACGGUAGCUAAUACCGCAUACCCUCGGAUGUGCCCAGAUGGGAUUAGCGAGUAGGUGGGGUAACGGCUCACCUAGGCGACGAUCCCUAGCUGGUCUGAGAGGAUGACCAGCGAAACUGGAACUGAGCAACGGCCCAGACUCCUACGGGAGGCAGCAGUGGGGAAUAUUGCACAAUGGGCGCAAGCCUGAUGCAGCCAUGCCGCGUGUAUGAAGAAGGCCUUCGGGUUGUAAAGUACUUUCAGCGGGGAGGCGUUACCCGCAGAAGAAGCACCGGCUAACUCCGUGCCAGCCGCCGCGGUAAUUC
rnacentral:rRNA from 1 species